GUCAGAAUGGUAGCCUUACACUCUCUUUCCCUGUUUACCUGGCACAGCCGCAGCUCCCAGGUCCCUGGGCUGGCAGUGUCCUCCCCUGAGUACCACACUGCAGACCAGCCAGCUCUGAGUCAGGACAGGAGGCACAGCCCAGGGUCACUGCUGUGACAUGAGAGCCUUCGCCUGCUCCUCCAGCUCCUGGCUCCAGGACCCAUGGCUGGGGCUGAACAAGAAACACUCACCCCCCUGCCCAAGCCGGACCAGGCUGUGUCACUCCCAAGCUGUGGACGCCAGGGCCAGCAUGGCAUGGGGAUGGUCGUGCUCCUUGCUGCACCUGUGCUCAGAAAUGGGUUCCUUGGUUGCAGGGGCUGGGCAGGCUUCCCUGAACAGGUCUAGCGGUUCACUGGGCCCAUGACACAUGCAAAUCCAGAAGAGCGUCUAUUCCUGGUGAGGAAAACUGCUGCUCAUGCCAUGGUGGAGGGGCCCAAAGUAAUCAACCUGCCACUGCACGGCUGCUUGGUUCCCGUGAGGCACAGUACCACGGCCGGGAUGUGAGACAGAUGCACUCAGCCUCGGGAACCCUGCAAAAUCAGACAGGAAACACCCAUGCGAGUGGUCCCGCUAACUCUGAACUUGGGGCAGCAUGUGAUGGAGAGCACCUGAGAACUCAAGCUAAGCGAAAGAAAGGGGCAAAGGAUGUUGUCAGGGGGACGUUGAACUUAAGAAAACAAAUGAGUGCCUCGCUGUGCGUCGUGCGCCUUCCUAGCCCUUCUCUGGGCUCCGAGUGGCUUGCUCUUGGUCGGCUCAGCAGCGAAGCGGUGAUUACGACAGUUCUUUGGACGCUCUUCAGGGAUGGCCUCUGCUUCCUGUUUGGGGAAUCCCAGCCGUCGGGAUUCAAGUGGGCUCCGAACUUCAAAAUUGAUGCCUGGAGAGCUCUGGCGACAGACUUGAUCCCCUCCAUAGGGCACCAGACACAGACGGGGGGUUUGGAAGCUGCCCUGUCCUCUUUCUGCCUCAGCUGGGCUCCUGCAACACUCCUGAGGGUGCGGGGUGAGGACCCGAGGCCCUGCAGAGGGGAGGUCAAGCUUGCAGAACACUGAGUCAGGAGUCUGAACAGGGGCGUCUGCCCUGGCCACAUGGACUGGUUCAUGCUGGACAUCUGAC
rnacentral:lncRNA from 1 species